UUUGACUUCGUUGUCAGUGGUUUAUCAAGAGGCAAAAGAGAACUCUUUUUGAAGUUCUUGAGAAGGUGAAAGCCGGUAAAACCAGAAAGUUCAUACCUAAAUUGGAGCACUCUUUCGACGUGCAUGGUAUCCGGAAUAGAUGAAUUACUGUAACUCUGUGAUCCAUUGUGGUUUUCGCAGAGUUGAUGAUUCUCGGCUUCAUCUCCUUGCUGUUGACAUUUAGUCAGGACCAGAUCGCGAAAAUCUGCGUGCCAAAGGCAGUUGCAGAUUCUAUGCUGCCAUGUCGCCCUGAUGCAGAGUCAACUGGCAGAAAUAAAAGGCGGCUGCUCGCGCUGGUGCUGACGGAGUCACACCUGAAGCGCAGGAUUUUAGCUGCUGGUGAUUCAGUGGUUGAAUGCCCCCCAGAAAAGGAGCAACUGAUUACUGCCACAGGCUUGCACCAGUUGCACAUUCUGAUCUUCUUUUUGGCUGAGUUUCAUGUGGUAAAUAGUGCUCUUAUAAUGGUCCUUGGAAGAGCAAAGAUACACAGAUGGAAGGACUGGGAAAAGGAUACGACAUCGGCUGAGUAUGCCUUCACGACUGGUAUAUAUAUGUUCACUAUUCUUUGUUUUUUUGUCCCAGAUUUGCAUCCUUGGAUCCUAGUUUGAGUGGUAAAAGUGCAGAACCAGUAUAUCGUGAUGCAAAAGGGAAAGCUAUUUCAAAGGAAGAGCUACUGAAACCAAAGGAGGAAGAGAAACCAAAGUUUACAAAUCUCAAGUACUCCAGAGUUGAAAUUGAUGAAGUGCGGUUCGAGUGGG